rnacentral:rRNA from 1 species
GACGAACGCUGGCGGCGUGCCUAAUACAUGCAAGUUGAGCGCUGAAGGUUGGUACUUGUACCAACUGGAUGAGCAGCGAACGGGUGAGUAACGCGUGGGGAAUCUGCCUUUGAGCGGGGGACAACAUUUGGAAACGAAUGCUAAUACCGCAUAAAAACUUUAAACACAAGUUUUAAGUUUGAAAGAUGCAAUUGCAUCACUCAAAGAUGAUCCCGCGUUGUAUUAGCUAGUUGGUGAGGUAAAGGCUCACCAAGGCGAUGAUACAUAGCCGACCUGAGAGGGUGAUCGGCCACAUUGGGACUGAGACACGGCCCAAACUCCUACGGGAGGCAGCAGUAGGGAAUCUUCGGCAAUGGACGAAAGUCUGACCGAGCAACGCCGCGUGAGUGAAGAAGGUUUUCGGAUCGUAAAACUCUGUUGGUAGAGAAGAACGUUGGUGAGAGUGGAAAGCUCAUCAAGUGACGGUAACUACCCAGAAAGGGACGGCUAACUACGCG